CCCAAUUUAGCUCGUUCUGAGGAGGCCCAUUUUUCACCAUCUCUCUUCCCUUGUAUCGGACACAACACGUUUGUGUCGCAGCAAACUCAACUCAACUCGCCGUUGAAAGCAAAACCCAGCCGGAAAACAUAUACGGAGUUCGUCGUCGGCCGCCUAAAACAGCAAUAACGGUAUUGUGAAACAUGGGGCUAUUUAGGACUGUUGUUAAAGAAGCAUGGGAGAAAACAUUCUUAUUUACAAAGUUCUUAUGCUUUUUACAUGUUACCGACAAUUAUCUGGUUGACCCUGUUAAGAUCUACGGUCCUAGCAUGCUUCCUGUAAUCGAUUUGAAUCCAAGCCUCUUUCUUGGUGAAAGGAUAACACCUCAAUCUGGUAAAGUUACUCACAGAGAUAUUGUAGUCUUCCGCUCACCUCAAAACCCUAGAAGAACUGUCACAAAGCGUGUGAUUGGAUUAGAGGGCGAUACCAUUACUUACGUCUCUAAUCCCGAAAACAACGAUAACGAUAAGCAUGAGACAGCUGUGGUUCCAAAGGGUCACGUUUGGGUACAGGGGGAUAACAAAUAUAAUAGCACUGAUUCUAGACAUUUUGGUCCAAUUCCUUAUGGCCUUAUUGAGAGUAAGAUAUUCUGGAAGGUAUUUCCACUUGAAGAUUUUGGAUCGUUCUGGAGAAAAUGAUUCGAAGCUCUCAAUCAUGUAAGUUACAAAUUACAAUCUCGAAUAACUUGUUUGUUUCAUUUUGAAAGGGAAAACAAUACCUUUAUGGACUCUGUCCAACCAUUUUCUUUGCGAAUUGGAGCUCACUUGCUAAAAAUUGAAGACAUGAUAGUGGAUGAUGACUGAUAUUUACUGCCUGUUUCGAAACAGGGCAGACUCAACAGUUUUUAUGGACAAAGGCAAACUAUGAUGUGAGGUCUAUCAUUUAAAGAUAAAUAACUUAUUACACAAAUAUCUAUAUAGACUUUUGAUUUAGUGGUAAGCUUGCAUUUUGAUAAAACUGGUAACCUGGGUUUGAAUCUCAAAUCUCAGAGCGUUGAUACAAUUUUCAUAGAACUUAGUGAACUCAGGACAGGGUUGAUCCUGCGAUUUUCAAAGAACCUUCACCCCGACAGCCAAAUCUAUUUUAUAAUUCAACGCCCAGGUAGCACAUUUUGUUGUUUAAGCUCAUCCACCAUUUGCUUACAUUUGGUCUGCUGAAAGAACUUGUGUAGUCCUAUUGUAAACGUAUGUGCAUUUGAAGAAUGGUCUUGGAUUAAGGAUCCUGCUGAUAUAUGCGAUGGUUGAAUACUUUCACUCAUUAAUUUUUCUUUUAUGAUGAUAACUCUUUGCUUACUUUUGAAAGUGUAAAUCUUCAGUUUGUUAGAAUAGGGAAAAACUAGAAAGCAUCUCUAUUAUACAAUCACAGGGUUUACUGAAUGUUAUUGUAAAAAGUGUUUCUAAUGUAUUCCAAUAUUAUUGCACAA